GUGGGGAAUAUUGGACAAUGGGGGGAACCCUGAUCCAGCCAUGCCGCGUGUGUGAAGAAGGCCUUUUGGUUGUAAAGCACUUUAAGCGAGGAGGAGGCUACCGAGAUUAAUACUCUUGGAUAGUGGACGUUACUCGCAGAAUAAGCACCGGCUAACUCUGUGCCAGCAGCCGCGGUAAUACAGAGGGUGCAAGCGUUAAUCGGAUUUACUGGGCGUAAAGCGCGCGUAGGUGGCCACUUAAGUCAAAUGUGAAAUCCCCGAGCUUAACUUGGGAAUUGCAUUCGAUACUGGUUGGCUAGAGUAUGGGAGAGGAUGGUAGAAUUCCAGGUGUAGCGGUGAAAUGCGUAGAGAUCUGGAGGAAUACCGAUGGCGAAGGCAGCCAUCUGGCCUAAUACUGACACUGAGGUGUGAAAGCAUGGGGAGCAAACAGGAUUAGAAACCCGUGUAGUCC
rnacentral:rRNA from 1 species